rnacentral:rRNA from 2 species
UAAGUCUGAUGGAGCACGCCGCGUGAGUGAAGAAGGGUUUCGGCUCGUAAAACUCUGUUGUUAGAGAAGAACAGCCGUGAGAGCAACUGCUCACGGUAUGACGGUAUCUAACCAGAAAGUCACGGCUAACUACGUGCCAGCAGCCGCGGUAAUACGUAGGUGGCAAACGUUGUCCGGAUUUAUUGGGCGUAAAGGGAGCGCAGGCGGUUUAUUAAGUCUGAUGUGAAAGCCUUCGGCUUAACCGGAGAAGUGCAUCGGAAACUGAUAAACUUGAGUGCAGAAAAGGAUAGUGGAACUUCAUGUGUAGCGGUGAAAUGCGUAGAUAUAUGAAGGAACACCAGUGGCGAAGGCGGCUAUCUGGUCUGUAACUGACGCUGAGGCUCGAAAGCAUGGGUAGCAAACAGGAUUAGAUACCCUGGUAGUCCAUGCCGUAAACGAUGAAUGCUAGGUGUUGGAAGGUUUCCGCCUUUCAGUGCCGCAGCUAACGCAUUAAGCAUUCCGCCUGGGGAGUACGACCGCAAGGUUGAAACUCAAAGGAAUUGACGGGGACCCGCACAAGCGGUGGAGCAUGUGGUUUAAUUCGAUGCUACGCGAAGAACCUUACCAGGACUUGACAUCUUCUGCCAAUCUAAGAGAUUAGACGUUCCCUUCGGGGACAGAAUGACAGGUGGUGCAUGGUUGUCGUCAGCUCGUGUCGUGAGAUGUUGGGUUAAGUCCCGCAACGAGCGCAACCCUUGUCUUUAGUUGCCAGCAUUAAGUUGGGCACUCUAGAGAGACUGCCGGUGAUAAACCGGAGGAAGGUGGGGAUGACGUCAAAUCAUCAUGCCCCUUAUGUCCUGGGCUACACACGUGCUACAAUGGGCGAUACAACGAGUUGCGAAACCGCGAGGUCAAGCUAAUCUCUUAAAGUCGUUCUCAGUUCGG